rnacentral:rRNA from 1 species
UAGUAUGGGGAUCUGCCCGAUAGAGGGGGAUAACUACUGGAAACGGUGGCUAAUACCGCAUAAUGUCUACGGACCAAAGCAGGGGCUCUUCGGACCUUGCACUAUCGGAUGAACCCAUAUGGGAUUAGCUAGCAGGUGGGGUAAAGGCUCACCUAGGCGACGAUCUCUAGCUGGUCUGAGAGGAUGAUCAGCCACACUGGGACUGAGACACGGCCCAG